rnacentral:RNase_P_RNA from 1 species
UGACCGAAUGGCGCGAUCGCGUGGCAUGUUGCCGAAAGGUAUUGCCAUGAGGAAAGUCCGGGCUUCACAGGGCGGGAUAACGGAUAACGUCCGCCGGAGGCGACUCCCGGGAAAGUGCAACAGAGAUAUACCGCCUGCCUUUGGCAGGUAAGGGUGGAAAGGCGAGGUAAGAGCUCACCGAUCCCUAUGGUAACACAGGGAUCCUGUAAACCCUAUCCGAAGCAACACCGUAUGCGGAAUCGGCUUUGCCGAGUGGCGGCCCGUCACGUUUCCGCGGGUGGCAGAAGCUUUUAGCUUUGAGGGCUGCGGUAACGCAGCUCACAGACAGAUGAUCGCGGUUUCGCUUUGCGAUCCACAGAACCCGGCUUACAAGUUCGGUCAAAAA